AGAAUCAACGCUGGCGGCGUGCCUAACACAUGCAAGUCGAACGAGAAAGGGUAGCAAUACCUGAGUAAAGUGGCGCACGGGUGAGUAACACGUGACUAACCUACCUUUUAGUGGGGGAUAACCUAGGGAAACCUGGGCUAAUACCGCAUAAUACCUACGGGUCAAAGCAGCAAUGCGCUGAAUGAGGGGGUCGCGGUCGAUUAGUUAGUUGGCAGGGUAAUGGCCUACCAAGACUGUGAUCGAUAUCCGGCCUGAGAGGGCGCACGGGACACACUGGAACUGAAACACGGUCCAGACUCCUACGGGAGGCAGCAGUGGGAAUUUGCGCAAUGGGGGAAACCCUGACGCAGCAACGCCGCGUGGAGGAUGAAGUCCCUUGGGACGUAAACUCCUUUCGAUCGGGACGAUAAUGACGGUACCGGAAGAAGGAAGCCCCGGCUAACUUCGCGCCAGCAGCCGC
rnacentral:rRNA from 1 species